UGGGGAAUUUUGGACAAUGGGGGUAACCCUGAUCCAGCCAUCCCGCGUGUGCGAUGAAGGCCUUCGGGUUGUAAAGCACUUUUGGCAGGAAAGAAACGUCAUGGGUUAAUACCCCGUGAAACUGACGGUACCUGCAGAAUAAGCACCGGCUAACUACGUGCCAGCAGCCGCGGUAAUACGUAGGGUGCAAGCGUUAAUCGGAAUUACUGGGCGUAAAGCGUGCGCAGGCGGUUCGGAAAGAAAGAUGUGAAAUCCCAGAGCUCAACUUUGGAACUGCAUUUUUAACUACCGGGCUAGAGUGUGUCAGAGGGAGGUGGAAUUCCGCGUGUAGCAGUGAAAUGCGUAGAUAUGCGGAGGAACACCGAUGGCGAAGGCAGCCUCCUGGGAUAACACUGACGCUCAUGCACGAAAGCGUGGGGAGCAAACAGG
rnacentral:rRNA from 1 species